GGGCCAUAGCUCAGAGGUAGAGCAUCUUGUUUGCAUGGUCACAGGUUCAAUCCCUGGCAUCUCCA